CGCACGGCUGAGGAACACGUGACUAACCUACCCCGGUGUGGGGGAUAACGGGUCGAAAGACUCGCUAAUCCCGCAUACGAUCCGCCUCGGCGGAGGAAAGCCGUAAGGCGCACUGGGCGGGGGUCGCGUCCCAUUAGAUAGUUGGUGUGGUAAUGGCGCACCAAGUCGAUGAUGGGUCUCUGGUCUGAGAGGACGACCAGACAGAUUGGGACUGAGACACGGCCCAAACUCCUACGGGGGGCAGCAGCAAGGAAUUUUCGGCAAUGGGCGCAAGCCUGACCGAGCAACGCCGCGUGGAGGAUGACGGCUCUUGGGUUGUAAACUCCUUUUGGGGGGGACGAUAAUGACGGUACCCUCCGAAUCAGGCCCGGCUAACUACGUGCCAGCAGCCGCGGUAAUACGUAGGGGCCAAGCGUUGUCCGGAAUUACUGGGCGUAAAGCGUGGGUAGGUGGUCGGUGAUGUGCCGCGUGAAAGCGCCGGAGUAAUGCCGGCGAGGUCGCGGUAGACACACGGACUCGAGGCUCGCAGAGGAACGUGGAAUUCCCGGUGUAGUGGUGAAAUGCGUAGAUAUCGGGAGGAACACCAGUGGCGCAAGCGGCGUUCUGGGCGAGACCUGACACUGAGCCACGACGGCGUGGGGAGCAAACAGGAUUAGAUACCCUGGUAGUCCACGCAGUAAACGAUGCAUACCAGGUGUGGGAUGGCGUUCGCGUCGUUCCGUGCCGCAGCUUACGCGAUGAGUAUGCCGCCUGGGGACUACGAGCGUAAGCUUAAGACUCAAAGGAAUUGACGGGGGCCCGCAC
rnacentral:rRNA from 1 species